rnacentral:rRNA from 1 species
GACGGAGGAUGCAAGCGUUAUCCGGAAUUAUUGGGCGUAAAGCGUCCGCAGGUGGCAUUUCAAGUCUGCUGUCAAAGACCGGGGCUUAACCCCAGAAAGGCAGUGGAAACUGAAAAGCUAGAGAUAGGUAGGGGCAGAGGGAAUUCCCAGUGUAGCGGUGAAAGGCGUAGAGAUUGGGAAGAACACCGGUGGCGAAAGCGCUCUGCUGGGCCUUAUCUGACACUCAGGGACGAAAGCUAGGGGAGCGAAUGGG